rnacentral:tRNA from 1 species
GCCAGGGUAGCUCAGCGGUUAGAGCGGCAGUAUCAUAAACUGUAGGUCGUGGGUUCAAAUCCCACCCCUGGCA